rnacentral:rRNA from 1 species
UUCCGGUUGAUCCUGCCGGACCCCACUGCUAUCGAGGUGGGACUAAGCCAUGCUAGUUGAGCGCACAGAACUAUGUCUGUGAGCGGCACACUGCUCAGUAACACGUAGCUAACCUACCCUUAGGACGUGGACAACCCCGAGAAAUUGGGGCUAAUCCGCGAUAGAUGUAUUGUCCUGGAAUGGUAUUACGUCUAAAGGUAUCCCAUACAUGUUUGGUAUAUGCCUAAGGAUGGGGCUGCGGCCGAUCAGGCUGUUGGUGAGGUAAUGGCUCACCAAACCUUUGACCGGUACGGGCCAUGAGAGUGGUAGCCCGGAGAUGGACACUGAGACAAGGGUCCAGGCCCUACGGGGCGCAGCAGGCGCGAAACCUCCUCAAUGCACUUACGUGCGAAGGGGCUACCUCGAGUGCCAUCUGAUGAAGGUGGCUUUUCCUAGGUCUAAAAAGCCUUGGGAAUAAGAGGGGGGCAAGACUGGUGUCAGCCGCCGCGGUAACACCAGCCCCUCGAGUGGUGGGGAUGAUUAUUGGGCCUAAAGCGUCCGUAGCCUGCCGUGUAAGUUUCCCGUUAAAUCCAGCGUCUUAAGCGUUGGACCGCGGGAAAUACUGUACGGCUAGAGAGUGGGAGAGGUCAGCGGUAUUCUGGGGGUAGGGGCGAAAUCCUUUGAUCCCCGGAGGACCACCAGUGGCGAAGGCUGCUGUCUAGAACACGUCUGACGGUCAGGGACGAAAGCUGGGGUAGCGAACCGGAUUAGAUACCCGGGUAGUCCCAGCCGUAAACGAUGCAUGCUAGGUGUUGGGUUGGCCACGAGCCACCCCAGUGCCGCAGGGAAGCCGUUAAGCAUGCCGCCUGGGAAGUACGAUCGCAAGGUUGAAACUUAAAGGAAUUGGCGGGGGAGCACCACCAGGCGUGAAGCCUGCGGUUUAAUUGGAUUCAACGCCGGA